rnacentral:rRNA from 1 species
GCUAAUACCGGAUAACAACAGAUGAUGCCUAUCAACUGUUUAAAAGAAUGGUUCUGCUAUCACUCUUGGAUGGACCUGCGGUGCAUUAGCUAGUUGGUAGGGUAACGGCCUACCAAGGCGAUGAUGCAUAGCCGAGUUGAGAGACUGAUCGGCCACAUUGGGACUGAGACACGGCCCAAACUCCUACGGGAGGCAGCAGCA